AUUGAACGCUAGCGGCAUGCCUUACACAUGCAAGUCGAACGGUAACAGGUCUUCGGAUGCUGACGAGUGGCGAACGGGUGAGUAAUACAUCGGAACGUGCCUAGUAGUGGGGGAUAACUACUCGAAAGAGUGGCUAAUACCGCAUGAGAUCUACGGAUGAAAGCAGGGGAUCGCAAGACCUUGUGCUACUAGAGCGGCCGAUGGCAGAUUAGGUAGUUGGUGGGAUAAAAGCUUACCAAGCCGACGAUCUGUAGCUGGUCUGAGAGGACGAUCAGCCACACUGGGACUGAGAAACGGCCCAGACUCCUACGGGAGGCAGCAGUGGGGAAUUUUGGACAAUGGGCGCAAGCCUGAUCCAGCAAUGCCGCGUGCAGGAUGAAGGCCUUCGGGUUGUAAACUGCUUUUGUACGGAACGAAAAGCCCCGGGUUAAUACCCUGGGGUCAUGACGGUACCGUAAGGAUAAGCACCGGCUAACUACGUGCCAGCCGCCGCGGUAA
rnacentral:rRNA from 1 species